UUUAAAUCCCCCUUCAAUCCCUGUAGGUCUUCAGAGUCUAACCUAAUUUAGUUCCUUUCCUCCAUUUUUACUCCCCACUCUACUUGUGGCGAUUUGUUGCAGAAUUCAACACUGACCCAUAGGGCAUGAUAUAAAGGGUAUUCAGGGGUAAUCUUCACCAUUCCAGACUGAUUUUGGGGGCGAGACAUCUGAUUACUGAUUUCUUAAUCAGAAAGCAGCCAAAUCCAGUUGGGUCCAAAUAUCUUAUAAACCGAUGUGAUGAUAAAAUCAGGCCGGAAAAGGGUCAGUCCAAGUGAAUCCAUGCCCUUGGGGACCCAGUGAGCCAGCACCAAGCAAGACAUGCCAAUUGUUCUGCCGAGCCAGUGCCAGUGCCAUCCAUUGGUAAGACUAACCAGGCUCUCUUUCUCCCUAAAUGUUGGGAGGUUGUGAAAGAGGCAGGAUAUAACAAUAUCAUGAUAUCUGUUUGUUUUUUUAUAUAAUAGUUGUGUACAUUUUCUGAUGAUGAUACGUAUCUUCAACUCAAUUACGUAUGUUUGCAUCAUAAUUAUAACUACUGGACCAAAUUCUGGAAUGAUGGCAUUCUAAAACCCGGUAAAGUAGUUCUAAGUCAGCCGCGCUACGUAUCUGACAAUUAUCUUGACUGUUGUAGUGGGUUAAUUCUGUUCUUUAACCUAAGACUUGUCAAUUCUGUGUGUUCAACCCCAUCACUGAACCACAUGUCUCCAUACCUAUAGCGUGUGCACAUGAGCGUGAGCAUUUUUGCGCUGCCUUGGCUUUUGACCCUGUUGAAUCCAACCACUAGAGUUAUUCGAAUUGAUCAUUCCCCACAAUCCAAAUCCAGUGGUUCCACAGUCCCAACGCGAACCCUCACCCUGAUGGCAGACAUAUUUCGCAAUCUGGACAGUGGGUCAACUUGACCCCAUGUUCAUUGAUGGGUUUAAAAGUUCCAAGGUUUGCAGGCAUUUUGUAUACUUGCAGGGGGUGUUAUAUGGCCUUGCUAGUUCACAGGAAGGUUUGUGUAUUGACCUCAAUACCAUUAAAGCUUGAGCCUUUGAAUGCUCUCGUGUUCUUGCGGACGAUGAUAGGACCAGUGAGCAAUGGGAUGUCUUGGGAUGUCAAAGGAUCUUGUUUGUUAUGUAACAUGUGAUGGUUCAAAUACUUUUCGUUUUUGGUCUUAUAAUGAUCAAUGUGAAUCUGGUGACCAAUGGACUCUCAAAUAUAGUGUUGUUAGGAAUAGUUUGGUAUGGGGGGCGGAUACAAUGUUUAUACCCAGUGCAGAUAUAGUGUUUAAACCCAAUGCAAUAAGUCUGAAUGCUCAUGUCAUCUUCUAUGACACUUCAGAAUUGAUCUUUAGCUGGGACUAUGAAAGCCAGAAAUGUAAACUGUUCAACAAGUCAAAGGUAAAGAUGGCUCAAAACCUGGUUAUAACUUUCCUUUCUUUACCCAACGUCCUUGCUUGAUACCUUACUACAGAUUGGGUGAGAGGAAUAUUGCCGGCUUUACUCCAUUAUCAGGGAACCUUUUGAAGGGAGCAGAGAUUUCGAGUGCGGAAGCAUUACCAUGUGAGUGUGAUAAUCUAAAAGAUAGCUUUCAAGUUGUACGCGGUCGUUCAUAUUGGAAUAUGUUGUUCAAGAGGCGGUUUCUUUUUCCAAGUGAAAUGCAGUUAUGUGUAGGAAUGGAGCUGCCGGAUUAAAGGGUAAGUACCAUAUGUCAUGGAAAGUGCUUGAUGUUACUGGGUUUUCCAGUUCAAGGUUGAGUACCACACAUCACAGGCUUCGGUAUCCCUAUCUAAACAGGUCAGCUUUUAGCUUAGGUACCUCUUUUCCUUUUUUCCUGCUCAACAAAGAAUUUCCACUAGUCGUAAUCGAUAACUUAGGGUUCUUUGUACAUUUUUGUUUGAUCGACAUAAGUUGGAUUAUUCUCGGAGGCGGUUCAAAGUCAUACAAACAAGUGAUUUACUGCUGUCAAUGUGAAUUUUUUCAUUGUGUUAUGUAGCAUUGCAUCGAUGUACGUGGAUUGAAUGCUUCUUUGAAAAUGACCAUAAGGAAAACCAUUUUGUUUUUAUAUCUAUCUUCUGCUUUCUUUGUCGAACAAGUUCAUUAGGAUAGUAACUAGGGUUCUUCCGCUCUUCCGCUCAUCAUUUUAAGGGACUCAUUUAGUCAGCGCUUGCUGUGGCUUCCAGUUAAGGGCUCUGUUAUGUAAUUCCAAACUGAAUGUAGUCGUGAAUUCUUAUGUUGCAUGU